rnacentral:rRNA from 1 species
CCUACGGGAGGCAGCAGUAGGGAAUAUUGCUCAAUGGGGGAAACCCUGAAGCAGCAACGCCGCGUGGAGGAUGAAGGUUUUCGGAUUGUAAACUCCUUUUGUUAGAGAAGAUAAUGACGGUAUCUAACGAAUAAGCACCGGCUAACUCCGUGCCAGCAGCCGCGGUAAUACGGAGGGUGCAAGCGUUACUCGGAAUCACUGGGCGUAAAGAGCGCGUAGGCGGGAUAGCAAGUCAGAUGUGAAAUCCUAGGGCUUAACCAUAGAACUGCAUUUGAAACUGUUAUUCUAGAGUAUGGGAGAGGUAUGUGGAAUUCUUGGUGUAGGGGUAAAAUCCGUAGAGAUCAAGAGGAAUACUCAUUGCGAAGGCGACCUGCUAGAACAUAACUGACGCUGAUGCGCGAAAGCGUGGGGAGCAAACAGGAUUAGAUACCCCAGUAGUC